rnacentral:rRNA from 1 species
UACGUAGGCAGCAAGCGUUGUUCGGAGUUACUGGGCGUAAAGAGUGCGUAGGUGGUGCCCUAAGUCUGUUGUGAAAUCUCCCGGCUUAACUGGGAGGGUGCGGUGGAAACUGGGGUGCUUGAGUGUGGGAGAGGUAAGCGGAAUUCCUGGUGUAGCGGUGAAAUGCGCAGAUAUCGGGAAGAACACCCGUGGCGAAGGCGGUUCUCUGGGACGGUACUGACGCUGAGACGCGAAAGCGUGGGGAGCGAACAGG